rnacentral:lncRNA from 1 species
AUUGCAUCUCAAAAAAAAUAAAAUAAAAUAAAUCAAGUUUGAGACAAAAAUUGUUACCAAAGACAAACAAGGACACUUUAUAAUGAUAAAGGGUCAAUCCAUCCAGAAGAAAUCACUAUUAUAAAUAUAUUUCAACCUAGCAAUAAAGCCCCAAAAUACAUGAAGCAAACUGAGGUCUUUGAGAAUAGAGAAGGCAGCUUUGUCCUAAAUAUUUGACUGCCAUAACCUAUUAUAGUGGUUAAUAUCCAAUAACUAGGGACUCAUUCCUUGGAGUUAAAGGUUUGCCUCCCCUACAGUUCUUCGUUAAAGUAUAAAUAUGUCCCUGGAAGCCACCAAUUGUGUUGCAAUUCCAUUUAGCUGAAGUUGGUUUAAGCUCCGUUGGAGCAGUGACUGCUAGUGACAGAGACAAACGGUUGAGCCAUUUUUGAUAGAUUAUAUAGGUAUGGCCUGGCCUGGGCCCAGGAGGAAAGCAGGGAGAAGAAGCAUCUCAGAGUGGGUAGAAGUAUUAAGAAUAGAGAAAGAGUAUAGGAUGAGGAGCAGGGAGAAAGCUAAGGUAUCACAGGGGCACAAAAAAAGUAUCGCAGGGGAACAAAAAAAGUCCCACAGAGAGUGUGGGAAACAAAUGCUAGACAAGGAGCAAAGCAACUGGGGCACUGCGUUGUGAUGAGGUUCUUGGUUUGGCAACAGGCACUGGAAGGCAUAGGCACUGAUAGAAAAACCAGGAAACUAGGAAACUCAUAGGAACAAAGAACAGCAAGAGGCAAGCCAGAUAUGAGCUCAGAACUCAGGCAAACGGGCUGGGCAAACAGAUGCUCAAAUGAGGUUGUGUUUGUGAAAGUGCCCAGUUCUGGGCAGAUGCUUAGUAACUGUUAGCUGGUUCUAAAUAUAAAACUGAAGCAAGGCAAGUGGCCAGGACAGCAACUCAAUGUUGACAACAAAAAUAGCCCCUACGUAUUAACACCUCUUAUAUUCUGGGCACGUUGCUAGGUACUUUACAUACAUUACCUCAUCUAAUACUAAAAUGACCCUGUGAGGUACACAUCGAAAAUUCCAGUCUAUAGAUGAAUGUGGAUCCUGGUUAAGUGACUUGCUCAAGGCCAUUACAACGAUGUGAAUGACACAGAGCCAGAAGUUUCCUCUGGCAGCCUCUGGGCCACAGUGACAGCCCAGGGUGGCUCUGAUCAACAUGGUGGCUUAAAAGGAAUGGGAGGAGGGGAGCUGAGAGCUGGGGACAAGGAACUUCUCAGAGUUCCUCUGGAGUCCCAAUCCUCCACUUUUUUUAAAGACAGAACCUCACUCUGUCCCUCAGGCUGGAGUGCAGUGGCACCAUCAUAGCUCACUUUAACCUCAAACUCCUGGGCUCAGGUGAUCCUCCUGGCUCAGCCUCCUGAGUAGCUAAAGCUACAGGCUCACGCCACCAUGCUCUGCUAAUUUUCUAUUUAUUUAUUUAUUUAUUUAUUUAUUUAUUUAUUUAUUUAUUUAUUUAUUGUAGUGGUCGGGUCUUGCUGUGUUACUCAGGCUGGUGUCAAACUUCUGGUCUCAAAUGAUCCUCUGACUCAGCUGGGAUUACAGGUGUGAGCCACCACACUCGGCCCCCUCCUCUUUUUAAAAGGGGGGUUGGGGAAGAGAGCAUCAGAGGCCUGAAGACCCUCCCUGCUCCUUUCUCUCUCCUUUGAAGAAUCGUGGUGAUUUAUCCCACAUGCCAGAAGGCCAGGCACUAGGUCACUAGGGCCACCCUUCCCUGCCUUAAACCUUGCAUGGCCUGUUUCUAAAUGGAAGAAUGCAGUGGAAAGCAGGGGCAAGGAAUUAGGAAUAAAGACACUUGUGGGGUUAGGGAACCCCAGGAAUGGUCUGUUUGCCCCAUAAAUCCCAAUAGCUAUAUCUGCUUUCUGUCAAAAGCAGAAGAGUGAGCUUACUUCCUCCAUGGCCACCAUGAUCUUCUAUCCUUCCUUUCCCUUCCCGCACAUGACACACACAACACACACGUGCAUGCGCGCACACACACACACACACACACACACACAUUGGAGGGCCACCUCUGGGUGACCCAUGCAUCCCCUCUCCCUGCCUCAUCCUAUUAGUGGGACCACCACCACUGCUCUUCCCUAGGGGAAGGGAGUUUCCUGUGAAUUCUCUUUAACCUUGGACUGGGGUCCAGGGCCAGCCUAUGAUGGAA